UGGGCACUAGGUGUGGGGGACAUUCCACGUUUUCCGCGCCGUAGCUAACGCAUUAAGUGCCCCGCCUGGGGAGUACGGCCGCAAGGCUAAAACUCAAAGGAAUUGACGGGGGCCCGCACAAGCGGCGGAGCAUGCGGAUUAAUUCGAUGCAACGCGAAGAACCUUACCAAGGCUUGACAUGGACCGGACCGCUGCAGAGAUGCAGCUUCCCUUCGGGGUCGGUUCACAGGUGGUGCAUGGCUGUCGUCAG
rnacentral:rRNA from 1 species